rnacentral:rRNA from 1 species
AGUGAACGCUGGCGGUGGGCCUAACACAUGCAAGUCGAACGGCAGCACAGUAAGAGCUUGCUCUUACGGGUGGCGAGUGGCGGACGGGUGAGGAAUACAUCGGAAUCUACUUUUUCGUGGGGGAUAACGUAGGGAAACUUACGCUAAUACCGCAUACGACCUACGGGUGAAAGCAGGGGAUCUUCGGACCUUGCGCGAUUGAAUUAGCCGAUGUCGGAUUAGCUAGUUGGCGGGGUAAAGGCCCACCAAGGCGACGAUCCGUAGCUGGUCUGAGAGGAUGAUCAGCCACACUGGAACUGAGACACGGUCCAGACUCCUACGGGAGGCAGCAGUGGGGAAUAUUGGACAAUGGGCGCAAGCCUGAUCCAGCCAUACCGCGUGGGUGAAGAAGGCCUUCGGGUUGUAAAGCCCUUUUGUUGGGAAAGAAAAGCAGCAGGUUAAUACCCCGCUGUUCUGACGGUACCCAAAGAAUAAGCACCGGCUAACUUCGUG